rnacentral:rRNA from 1 species
CGAUGAUGCCCAGCUUGCUGGGUGGAUUAGUGGCGAACGGGUGAGUAACACGUGAGUAACCUGCCCCUGACUCUGGGAUAAGCGUUGGAAACGACGUCUAAUACUGGAUAUGACUACCGGCCGCAUGGUCUGGUGGUGGAAAGAUUUUUUGGUUGGGGAUGGACUCGCGGCCUAUCAGCUUGUUGGUGAGGUAAUGGCUCACCAAGGCGACGACGGGUAGCCGGCCUGAGAGGGUGACCGGCCACACUGGGACUGAGACACGGCCCAGACUCCUACGGGAGGCAGCAGUGGGGAAUAUUGCACAAUGGGCGAAAGCCUGAUGCAGCAACGCCGCGUGAGGGAUGACGGCCUUCGGGUUGUAAACCUCUUUUAGUAGGGAAGAAGGGA